UACAGAGGGUGCAAGCGUUGUUCGGAAUUACUGGGCGUAAAGCGCGUGUAGGCGGCCAACUAAGUCAGACGUGAAAUCCCUCGGCUUAACCGGGGAACUGCAUCUGAUACUGGAUGGCUUGAGUUCGGGAGAGGGAUGCGGAAUUCCAGGUGUAGCGGUGAAAUGCGUAGAUAUCUGGAGGAACACCGGUGGCGAAGGCGGCAUCCUGGACCGACACUGACGCUGAGGAGCGAAAGCCAGGGGAGCAAACGGG
rnacentral:rRNA from 1 species